rnacentral:rRNA from 1 species
AACGAACGCUGGCGGCAUGCCUAACACAUGCAAGUCGAACGAGACCUUCGGGUCUAGUGGCGCACGGGUGCGUAACGCGUGGGAAUCUGCCCUUGGGUUCGGAAUAACUCAGAGAAAUUUGAGCUAAUACCGAAUGAUGUCGCAAGACCAAAGAUUUAUCGCCCAAGGAUGAGCCCGCGUAGGAUUAGCUUGUUGGUGAGGUAAAAGCUCACCAAGGCGACGAUCCUUAGCUGGUCUGAGAGGAUGAUCAGCCACACUGGGACUGAGACACGGCCCAGACUCCUACGGGAGGCAGCAGUGGGGAAUAUUGGACAAUGGGCGAAAGCCUGAUCCAGCAAUGCCGCGUGAGUGAUGAAGGCCUUAGGGUUGUAAAGCUCUUUUACCAGGGAUGAUAAUGACAGUACCUGGAGAAUAAGCUCCGGCUAACUCCGUG